UUCUCUAUGUGUACAUCUUAAAUCUUGGUAAUAAAAUUUGGACAAUGCUAAAUGUUUACGGUAUAAAUAAAACUAUAUAUACAUAUACCAGCUCAAUCUAUAUAUCUAUCUAUAUAAAAGGAGGACAUAAGUUCGGUUACGUGGCCAAGAAUCCUAUUUAUCUUUUUUCUUCUUUUUUUUUUAUUUUUUUUUUAUUUUUCCCUUUGUAAAACUUAUUCUUUAAACACAAAUUAAAGCCUUUUAGGGAAACGUUUCGGGAAACAAAGGCUCGUUUCGGAAAAAGAUUAAAUGCACCGUUUACUUCACUUAAUUGCAGAAUUCCAAAAGUUUCUUACUGAACCAUCGUUUCCGGAACAACAAUCGUGAUUCAUACCCUUUGAGUUUGUGCAAGAGGAGGUAUAAGUUUGUGCAAGAGGACUUGAGCAACAAGAGUCCUCUUGAUUGCAUCGUUCCAAAAGCCCUCUUUGUAAAUAUGUUCUUCUUCUCCGAUCAUAUAUUGCUAAAAUUGCAAGAGACAAUUGCUUUAUGUUUGGGAAAGAUUGUCUAGACAAAACCGUAUUGGUCGAAUCAAAAUUGUAAAACUACACUACUGUUUUGUCACAUAUAUUCAUUGCAAGUCAAGUCGAUACAAUCACUUGGAUGGUGCUUUGCUGCAACUUCAUGAUUUUGAUCGUUCGGAAGCGUUCCGGAAGGGUAAAGCUCAAGUUUGAUUGUUCGUGGCUCUCGUUCGGCUUCGAGUGCAGAGUACGAGAUCGGUACCACUUCUGCACCUCGACAUUGAUCCCAAGGCUAUCUGCGGAGUUUGAUAGGGUGAGCUUAUUGGACGAGUCCGCCACCCUUGGGACUCCUUCUUUACUACUCAUCUUACUUUGAUCCUUAGACAAUAUUUCUAGUUUUGAGACUCAUGUAUUAUUCAGACACGUAGAUCAGUGGCUCUUGUACUAUUUCUGACCAUUUUCCUUGGGUGGUAUUUAGAAUUGGGAAUUCCGCACUUGGUAUUUAUAAUAUAUGUUAGACUCUUCAUUAAUUUCUCUUUAUUUAGUAAUUAUUGUUGUAUAACUGAUUAAGGGAAGGGUUCUCCUACCGAGGUGGGAUAUGGUAGGCACCCGUAUGACUUAGCGGCAUUUGGGUCGUGACAUAUUGAGAUGUUGAAGAUGGAGAUAUUGUUUAAAGACGAGAGACGGAAGACAAUU